rnacentral:lncRNA from 1 species
GGGAAGAAGGCAACGGCGGCGGCACAGAGAAGAGGAAGAGGAGGACCCGUCUAGGGUUUAUCCUUGAGCUAGGGCUGCGAGGAGGGGCGCGGUGCGGCUUAUAAAGGGGGCGCGUGGAGCUCCUGUCGCUAUCGGCGUCGACGUGGCGCGCGGGGCCCACCGGGCAGAAGGACGAAAAGCAGAGGGAGGAAGAAGACUGUUAGAGAUGGUGCCUUUGGGAGUUUACGCUUCCGCUGCGGGGAAACGGAACGCGGGCGCGCGCGGAGAAGCGGGGCUGCGCCGGGCGGCGGGACUGCUGGGCCGACUCGGGCCGAAAGGUAAGGGACGGUAAGCUUUUUCUUUUUCCUUUUUCCUUUUUCUGUUUUCUCUUUUGCAAAUAGUUUUUGAUUCAAAUUUCAAAUACCAUUUUGAAAAGCUGAGAAGUAGAAGUAGGAGAAUUCAAAUACGGUACUACUAUUUGGGAAAUAUUCAAAUGGGGUAA